rfam:Nippostrongylus brasiliensis genome assembly, scaffold: NBR_scaffold0000002
ACAUCGGUAGCACAGUGCUCAGUACAGUCUGCCGAAACAGAAAGACGCGGGUUCAAUUCCCGUCCGAUGUC